rnacentral:rRNA from 1 species
CAGCACCUCAAGUGGUCAGGAUGAUUAUUGGGCCUAAAGCAUCCGUAGCCGGCGCUGUAAGUUUUCGGUUAAAUCUGUAUGCUCAACAUACAGGCUGCCGGGAAUACUGCAGAGCUAGGGAGUGGGAGAGGUAGACGGUACUCGGUAGGAAGGGGUAAAAUCCUUUGAUCUAUUGAUGACCACCUGUGGCAAAGGCGGUCUACCAGAACACGUCCGACGGUGAGGGAUGAAAGCUGGGGGAGCAAACCGGAUUAGAUACCCGAGUAGUCC